rnacentral:guide_RNA from 1 species
AAUACCAAUAGAAGACAGAAUCGUAGUCAUGUGAUAU